rnacentral:rRNA from 1 species
GUCUAUGGCCAUACUACUCUGAACAUGCCGAUCUCGUCUGAUCUUGGAAGCUGAGUAGGGUCGGGCCUGGUUAGUGCUUGGAAGGGAGACCACCUAGGAAGAACGAACAGAUGCUGUAGUUU